rnacentral:rRNA from 1 species
GUCCACGCCGUAAAACGAUGGAUACUAGCUGGUUGGGGGCAACCUCAGUGGCUAAGCGAAAGUGAUAAGUAUCCCACCUGGGGAGUACGUUCGCAAGAAUGAAACUCAAAGGAAUUGACGGGGGCCCGCACAAGCGGUGGAGCAUGUGGUUUAAUUCGAUGAUACGCGAGGAACCUUACCAAGGCUUAAAUGUAGAUUGACCGGUUUGGAAACAGACUUUUCGCAAGACAAUUUACAAGGUGCUGCAUGGUUGUCGU